ensembl:lncRNA
GCAGGGCAGCUCUUGAGGUAAUGAGGAGUUUUGAGCAGCUGUGAGGGAGAGGUAAAACUGCCUCCUUCCUUCCUGUCUUCUUCUUUACACCUUAGUAAGUCUUCAAAUGUGCUUAUGGUUUGUUGUUAUUUAUUUACUUUAACAUCUGCCUUAAACCAAGUGUGUUCUCCAGUCUGUCUCAUUUUCUGCCCCAUUAGGGAAUACCGUGAAAACUCUGCUGCUUGCAGGGUUUUUGCUGGUGUUUCUGCUAGUCCUUGCAGCCUCUGCUCACUACUGUUCUGUUACGCUGGUUUUAGUUCCUCUUGGGCUUACAGCCAAAUGCUCUGGUCAGUGAUAGUGCUUCUAGUUUAUGAAUCCUUUCUGCACUGAAAGGAGAGUAUACGUUUCACUUCCAUUUAUUUUCAACAAAACAGAGGGUACGAUACUUUCGUUCUUAGUGAUAUCUCUUACAGAGGCAGGCUAGCAGUUUGUUUUCGAUGAUGCAGGUAAAUUUACUACUAUGCAAGUCCUGAAAUUAAAGUAAUGAAAAGAUAGCGUAGCGUUGCCUGUCAAUUUCAGGAAUAUUUUCAAAUUUUGAGUAUAUGUUGCGUAAGCCUCAAGUAUUCGCCUGUGCUUCUGUGUACCGUUGCACUUUGGGGCCUGUAGCUUGAAUGCUUUUGCUCCAGAAAUGCCCCUUAUCCAUAGGAAUUUGUAAGCUAGUUGAGAAUGGAAGUCCUGCCAGGAUGACAAUUACCUGUGCAUGUAAAUAUGAAGCAAAAAUUUUACUCUUACAGAAGACUGAUCUCAGGAAACGGAAUGCUUUUCAGACUCUGAUUUAUUUGUCCCAUAAUGCCUUAGCAGUCUGUAACCUUAGUUUUCCACAUUUGUAUUCAUUUGUGCGUAUUUCGAGGUGGCUUGUCAUGGUGUAAUAUUUUUUCUGUUCUUCCAUUGAAUCCAGCAUUAUCUUCAUGUCUGCACUAUGUCAUGUUUAGCAUUUACUUAUCUCAAUGUUGUGUUAGAUUGACAUUUCAUAUUUUGCUGCAAAUCUGGCAGGUUGUACCUCUGUGAGGGCUGCUUCUUACUUGAAAAGUACUUUGAGCAAUGGAAAACAACACUGGAAGAGAGCUGGGUAGUUUCUCCUGCUACGUGGGUUGUGCUGAGUGGGUCAGUAAGAGCAGCAGUGGGCUGAGUGCCCAAGUCUCUGGCAAAGGAGUCCCAGAGGUGGAACCAGAAACUCCGUAGUAAGGCUGUAAACAAAAACAAGUUCGAGGAAAGCGUAAGCAGUUCCAGGAAGCAGCCGUCUCCAUUUGUUAGCAACCUCAUUCUUUGCACGUUCCUCCCAAAAGUGCUUCCCACAACUUGUAAGUCAUUUUGUCAAAUCUUACUUAAGUUUCAGCCUGGUUUCUCUCAUUCCUCUUUGGCAGUAAAUUCUGUUGGAGUGGAGCCCACCGUGGGGCUGCAUCUCUGCGAGUCAGGACCGAUGGGAACAUUCUGGGUAUGAGAGCAUUUAAGUGAGAGUUUUGAGCUAAGCUAAGCCAUUUACAGGCAUCUUUGUCUCAGGGCGAUGCCAACAGUUUCAUGAAACAUAGCAUGGUUUUCCUGUAGAUGAGCCACAUGAGGGGAAAAUGUGAAAACACUCAAAUAAAUGGUUUUCUAGCCGAAUCUGUUCUCUUUGAGGUGAGACAUCUGCAUACAUCCAUCUAACUUGAGAUGGGUGGGAAGAUCUGCCAGAUCAGCUGGAUUUUGCAUUCUCUCAGUUGAUAAUGCUGAGUUUGGAGUGUGAAUUUUUGGAAGACCUUCUGUUAUUGCAGGUGCUGUGAGUCUGUGUUAGCAGGUUGUCACUGUUGUUUUGAAGGUGGCUGUUGCCAUAUGUCGUCCAGCUUGGAGGUGCCUGUUUAUUCAGUUGAUUCAUCAUUAUUGUCACAGAAACAGAUUUUUUUUUAAUAGAAAGCAAGGCAAUAGAUUUUGCUAAAUGCAAGUUCAUAAGACUGAAAGGAAAAAAGGAGUUUUAUCAGCUGUUUCAUUGCUCAGUUUAAGAUCUGGUCCAUUUUUCAGCCACUAAAUGAAGUACCCAGGUCUCUGAAGGAUCAUCAAGAA